rnacentral:lncRNA from 1 species
AUACUCGCUUUUAUCGACAAAGUACGUACGUUCUGCGAGAAAGCUGGAUGGAUUGUUGGGUGAAGUAAACGACUUUCUCGCAGAACAGAUCUGUUUCAAUGUCGAGGAGCCGAAACAGUGAUUAAUCGCGUUGUGGUGUCGAGGAAAAGCAAAAAUUAAUCACCGUUGAGGUAUCCGAUGACAGAAGCUUUAUCUAUAAUGAAAAAUCAGAGAGACGUAGUGGUACUGAUUCUGCAAACAAAUGCCUUUCUUCAAAUUCUCUUCCAACUGAGCUUUUUCUGUCACUUUUUUCACGUUUGUUUCGUUUGCGCUGCAUGCUUUACUUUUUGUGCGAUAUUCAAGUUACCAUACAGCCAACUUAUCGUUUACUCUUCCAAAACUACGUGCUUUACCAAUAAAUGUUUGUUUUUUAGUCUGGUUAUUUUUUUGUAAAUUUCGUGAUCCGCCUGUAUUCUGUUAUCGGAUGAUAAUCCCAGCCCGCGUAUCAUUUUCAAAGUCCGCAAUCAAUAAAACGAUCAAUCGUUUAAUUAAAGAGAAAUAAAAAGAUACGAGCAGGAACACUCGUAGUCUGCAAUGAUCACGAUGAUUCGCACCGUUAAAGCGCACAAUGUAGGCUGACGCGACGACUAAUGAUUUUUCGGGCCGAGAGCGAGAGUCGGCGCACAUUACGUAUAUAUCAGCGGCUGUCUCGACUCCCACCUUUUGGCGAAUCUCUAGCGCCCACUCGAGCAAAAUGCGCCGAGUUUAUGUGUCUGCGCUUGAGUCACCACCCUCGUCCGUAAGCUCCGCCGAGACCGGACCAUGCAAAUUUUUCUUAUACACCUUGUAUUCGCUAUCUUUCCAGUUUUAUGAGUCCACUGCGACAAUUCGCGUGCAAACGCGCUGUAGGUAGAUCUUUCGCGGUCUCGCGCCAACUUUGUGAGUUAUCGCCGGCGCGCAUUGCAGUCGGGUUGUCGCGCCGGAGCCAUUGUAUAUUAUGUAAUUAGGUGGUAGCUUUAUCGGUUUUUAUUUUCAUUGGUUUUAUUGCUUCUUAUUCUUGUUUCACGAGACUGUAUUCUUUUUGAGUGUUUUGUAGAGUUCUAAUAAUCUACACUUACAUAAUAGAGUAAUUUUAACAAAUUAUAUACUGUUAAUAUAGUUUUACAAUAUGUCGCAUAUAAACUAUUCAAAGCUUGUUGUGUUUUGAUGAAAUAUUCAUGAUAAAGCAUAGCUCAAAAGCUUCACAUGCUUUUUAUCUACCUUGUAAUAUAUGAGUAGACAUUUUUACCAAUAGAUCUAGAAACUGAUUUGCGUAUAGGUACAUAAAUCGAGUAAUUGUUAGAAACAUUUUUAUUGAAAAUUCUACCCUACUCGGAAUAAAUCCGAAUUAUCGACGCACGGCACUAUAGAGAGCACAGAGAGGCUCAUAACUGGCGUCGGUAUAGCGAAUGCGCCUUUCACUGGGAUGGCAGCACGGUCUGCGCGCGGCGCAAGCUGAAUGUGAAUCGUAGUACCUAUGACUCAUCCGGCAUUACGAUGUUUUUAUCGCAACAUACGCAGAGCCGUAAUAGUUAUACACUGAAUAUAUAUAUACGACAGUUUUCUAUUGUUCUUAAAAAUUGAAUGUUUCUACUUUAGUUUCAUCACCUAAAAUCAUCUCAUUACACCCUCCCAACAUACUCUUUACUUCAUUGUAUUCACCGACAAAUUCAUUUUUAAUUAUCGCUCCGAAUGAAUUUAAUACCAGACCCCAACCUGCGCAUUAACGAGCCUCCAGAUCCGGUAUCGAGUAUCACGAAGCUGUUUUAUUAAAACAUUUAGCUUCCGUUUCUCGGCCCUUGCACUUUUGAGGCAUCGGCGCAACUCCUCCUCGCAACUCGAGCUCAUUAUUCGCGCCACGAAGAACUAGGCGACUGAAACACUACCGGCUGCAUUAUGCACGCGAAGGUAUAUAUAGAUACAGUGUAGGUGGACAAGAAAGUCGAUUAGGAGUCUUCGCGUGACGCUGUUAUAAACGGGCGCAUGUAGUAUACACGACCUAAUGCUGACAAUAGGGCCGCUCGAUAUAUCGACUAUUUUUGUCAACGAGUUGCGCCGCACACAUGUGUGUUCAACUACUAUAGCAAGUUGAAAUUUUCCAUUCGCUAGAAGAGCAGAUCUUGUACUUUGGAACAAAUGAUAUAUAUAUAUAUAUAUAUAUAUAUAUAUAUAUAUUCCGCAAUAUGAAAGUCGGUAGUAGACGGGGUUCGUGCAAUAAAGCAAUCCUGGAACUUCUGUUCUUCGUCGUCCCUUCGCCUUCCGAGACAUCCCUCUGAGCGAGCUUUGUCAGCUUUUACGCGUGUAGGCGCGCUUGACAACGCUGUCAUCCUUCUGUCUUAUACUCUCCGAUGCCAAUUCUUAUACAACUAAGUGGAGUCUCAGAGACACUCCGGGAUGAUUAGCCUUUGGCUCCUUUCUCGACGUGUUUGCGGACUCUUUUGUUUCGAGAGGGACUAAUGAGGGUCGGUCUAAUAAUCCAGUUUCGGAGUCGAAUAUAUUAAUAGUGGGCGGUUCGGUUUUAGGCGGCUGUUAUAAUGUCCUUGUUGAUCAGGAUGAUCGGGGAUAAUUUAUCUUAUCUGCAUCCAUAGCCACGCAUCGGUUAUUUUUAAAUAUACUUCAAGCUCAAUUGCUGGACGUUUUAAAAUUUCUUAAUCCGAGCAAUCGUCGUCCCCCAUAAAACUCCUCGCAACACCUAUAUAGUAGUAAAGGGCCGUAGGUACAGUAAUAUAUAGUAUAUACACGCAGCAGCGGCUGCAGACCGAGUACGCCGCUGCGGUUCAGUGCAGCCGGUGGUUGCGCGAACGCGUAUACGCUUCUGUGUGUGUGUGUGUGUAUAUAUAGCUAUACACAAGCCUCGCUUAUGCGCGCCUCAGUCCGGCGGCCGAGCGAACUGCCAGUCGGCAUCGCACCGUCGCGUCGCGCGGAUCAACCGCCACUUCGUGCAGUGUUUAACACACACACACACACACCGAACACGAAAUUCCUUUUUAACCGUCGCGUUGUUUUUUCGAAAGCAGUUUUCGCGCUCUCGCAUCGGGUGCGCGACGACGUCGCGUGUGACACUCGUGUGACAUGGAGUGAGAGUCUGAAUCGGAGAGGAGAGAAGCGUCUCGAUCGCCUCACCUUGGCGUGGGGGGGUGGACGUACUUUGCGAUUGAUAUAAGACAGGCUGAUGGUGCGCUGUGCGCGAAGUGCCGAGUCCUGCUGAUCAGCUGAUAUUUCUUUGAAUUUCGGGACUGAAGAAAACGGACCUAAAGACAGUAAAGUGCAAACAAUAAUAAGCGAGAAAAGUGCGCGGUGUAUUUUCUUCCACUGUGAGUAACAUAAGGCUUCCCUCGCGAGAAGCGCGAAGCAAAAGGGGAAAAAAGAGUGUGUCGACGCGUCGAGCAAGAAAGAAACGAAGACAAGACGGCAAAUAAUAAUAGGAGCGAACUGGAGGAGAGGAGUCGGCGAGAGAGAAGCAUCAGCCGAGGACCGAUGGUGAGGCCGAUGAGGAAAGGCGACGAGCUCGCCGAGGCGAGGAAGUCGUCCAGCGGCAAAAGCAUCGUCACCUCGCCGACCGGCACGCAGUCGUCUCCCUCCGCCAACGGGUAAUUUAAUGAGAUUUUUUUCCGCAUCAUUCCACGUAUCUGUUAUUAUCGUUAUUACUCUUGUAUAAGAGCGACUUUCAGUUUGUCGUCGAUGAGAAAAUUUUGGUAAUACAUUGUAUACAUAUGGUAGAGAGUAUACUCUUAGAUAUUUUUAGAGGCGAGGUAUUAUAUCGGCGCAGAGCAAGCCGUGAAAAAUUUACAUGACACUUUUUGAUAAAAGCGGAGAGACAUUUCGUACCAUUGAAACAAUCAGCAGCUAUAGUAAUUCAUUUUGAGGUGUAUACGAGUACUUGUAUAGGAUAUAACAGAUGUGUCAAACCAGUUUCCGUUAUGCAACAUGUGAUUCGAUUUUCUUUCGUUGGACCAUAGGACUAUUUUUAUAUAGCGACUAUUGCGUUACAUACCUCAUUACUUUAAGUAUGAAUUAUUUGCGUAAGAGAGUUUAUACUCAUUUUUGCGUUAUAGUUCUUCUGUUGAUUCUGUAUAAUUAUUAUAAAUAAGUGGACAGAUACGAAGCGCGUAUACUGUGUGCGUUAGGAGUGAUACAGGUACGUUCAUGGUUGAAAAAUGAAAUUAUAUUGCUCAAAUAUAUUUAUAAUAGUGCGAUUUAUUUAUUUUCACCGAAUCAUAUUGUAUUUUAAGGUUAUAUUAUGAAUAAAUCUUGUUUAAAACGUUUAGCGCAAUAA